rnacentral:rRNA from 1 species
UACGUAGGUGGCAAGCGUUGUCCGGAUUUACUGGGCGUAAAGAGCGCGCAGGCGGUCGUCCAAGUCGCGUGUGAAAGCCCCCGGCUCAACUGGGGAGGGUCACGCGAUACUGAUCGACUCGAAGGCAGGAGAGGGAAGUGGAAUUCCCGGUGUAGUGGUGAAAUGCGUAGAUAUCGGGAGGAACAUCAGUGGCGAAGGCGGCCCUCUGGUCCAGUACUGACACUCAAGUGCGAAAGCGUGGGGAGCAAACAGG